rnacentral:rRNA from 1 species
CACGUAGGCGGAUCCUUAAGUCAGGGGUGAAAUCCCGAGGCUCAACCUCGGAACUGCCUUUGAUACUGGGGAUAUCGAGUCCGGGAGAGGUGAGUGGAACUGCGAGUGUAGAGGUGAAAUUCGUAGAUAUUCGCAAGAACACCAGUGGCGAAGGCGGCUCACUGGCCCGGUACUGACGCUGAGGUGCGAAAGCGUGGGGAGCAAACA